CCCGCGCCCCCCCGACCCUGUGCGUGUGCCUGCGCCCCCCGACCCGUGAGGAAGUCUGUGCCCCCGACCCAUCCGUGUGCCUGCGCCCCCCGACCCGUGUGGAUGGUUGCAGACCCCAUCCCGUGAGGUUGUCUGUGCCCCCCGACCCGUGUGUGUGCCUGCACCGCCCAACCCCAUGAGUGUGCCUGCGCCCCCCUAUCCGUGAGGAUGUUUGCGCUCCCGAACCGUGAGCAUGGCUACGGACCCAGACCCCGUGAGGAUGCCAGCACCUCCCGACCCCGUCAUGGUGGCUGCACCCCCCCGAUCCGUGAGGAAGUCUGUGCCCCCAGGUCUCUUGCGUGUGCCUGCGUUCCCAGAUCCGCGCGGAUGUCUGCGCCCCCAACCAGUGAGGGUGCCUGCGCCCCCUGACUCCGUGCAUGUGCCGGAGCCCCCAGACCCUGUGAGGAUUUCUGUGCCUCCCGGACCGUGAGGGGGCCUGCGCCCCCCGACCUGUGAGGAAGUCUGCGCCCCCCAACCCCAUGAGUGUGCCUGAGCCCCCCGACCAGUGAGGAUGUCCAGGCCACCGAGCCGUGAGCAUGGUUGCGGACCCCGACCCCGUGCGGGGGGCUGCAGUAGACAUCAACCCGUGAGGGUGCCAGCGCCUCCCAACCCCGUGAGGGUGCCAGCGCCUCCCAACCCCAUGAGGGUGGCUGCACCCCCGACCUCUUGAGGUUGCCUGGGCCCCUCGACCCGUGAGAGUGCCAGCGCCCACCGACCAGAGAAGAUGCCAGCACCCCGACCCUGUGAGUGUGCCUGGGCCCCCAACACUGUGAGAAUGUCCGUGCCCCCCGACCUGUGAGGGUGCCCGUGCCCCCUGACCCGUGAAGUUGCCAGCGGCCUCCAAUCCGUGAGUGUGCCAGCACCCCCGAUUCUGUGUGGGUGCCAACGCCCUCCAUCCCGUGAGGAUUUCUGAGCCCACCCAAUGUGGGGAGGAUGUCUAUGUGCCCCCCCACACAGUGGCAGUCACAGCUACCCCCAGCCCUCCCCCACUCCAACCACAGCCCACAGGUGGGCCUUCCUCAGUCUUCCUGGGCAGACAAAACUCCGGGAGGCUCCCGAGCUGUCUUUCAGAAUCCCUCUCAGUGGUCCCUGAGGAGCGUCAGCCAAGGCAGCCUCGGGACUCAGUGCAGCUGCCCAGGGCCUCCGUGGCUGAGCCUGGGGGUUCUCUGGACAGGAUCCGAACCACUGGCAGAUGUGGGUGCCUGUUGCUGUUGAUUUCUCAACAAUGUUGCAGUGGAUUCAUUUCUGAGAGGAACAGCGUGGUGGGGGCAAGAGGCGCGGAGUCACUACACAGACCCCGGGAGUCCAGUGAAAGCAGGCUUGAGGUGAGCAGCCGGCAGACUUGUUUAUUUCAGUUGAAACUACCUCUUAUAUAGCCAAGACAAGCCAAUAUGGUCAAGGGGCAGUCUAUGCCCCAUCCAAUCACAGCCUGCCAGGCAGUUUCCAAAGCCAUCCAAUCACAGCCUGCCAGCAGCUUCCAAAGCCAUCCAGUCACAGCCUGUUGCCAGGCAGUUUCCAAAGCCAUUCAAUCACAGCCUGUUGCCAGGUGGGUUUCAAAGCCAUUCCUGAGUAACUGAUGCUCCCUUGCCAGUGGCCACCUUGGCAUGGCCCUCUCAUUCCACCACACCAAGCCAUAACAAAGAGCUGGAUCAAAAGUGGAGCAGCUGGGACUCAAACCGGUGCCCAUAUGGAAUGCUGGCACUGCAGACAGUGGCUUUACCUGCUACACUACUGUGCCAGCCCCAGAACAAGCAUGUAUAACACAGCAAGUUAGAAUAUUGGAUUUUGAAUAUGAAUUCACAUUAGGAUAUGCUUUAUAUUGUAGGAGUUUAUGGAUAGAGGUUAUGGGCAAACACAAGACUUGUGUAGGUAAGUUUUACAUAGAUACUUAGGCAUGAAGAUAAAUUUUUCAUUACCUACACAAUCAUAUUAUUGAAAAAUAAAAAUAGAGAUAAAGGAUGGAAAAAGAAAGCAGAGGAGUCAUAUGUGAUUUUUUUUCAGGGCCCAUAUAAAUAGUGACACUUUGGCAAGGGAUUUUUCAUGAGAUUGUUUUAAGGAAGAAAUUUUUCUGAAAAGGAAACUCAAAUGUAGCACACACUUAUUUUCUAUGAUAUUUCUGCUUAAGCAAAGUGCUUAUGCAUGUAUUACUUUCUUGUAAAUUCAAAAUUACCGGACAGUUCAUCGGGAAAAACAACAGGAGAAAGUCAAAAAAUUGAUUUAGAGUUCACUUUUCUUUUACAAUGUAGACUGACAAAAUAUUUUUAAAAUAAAUGUAACCCUUGAUAUUGUAGAAAUAUUGCCAUAUUGCAAAUGUGUGAAAUAUGGGAAAUACUUAUAAAUAGUAAAAACACAAAAAGACACACACACACACAUAAACUGUACACAUACUAGGGUCUAUUCUUAUCUUUAGGGGGAAAGGACUCAAAGAUAAAUGUCUCCCCAGUUUUUUAACUCAGAACUACUCUCAGUGGUUCACACAUUUUACUGAUGAGUAAACUUGCUUCAAGUUUUCCAUGAAUAGAAAUUGAGAAAUUUGUCAAUUGUACUCUAUGGAGCAUGUAAGUGACCAUACCAUAAACUCUCAAAUGCAAUGGUGUGUUGGAGUUCUUUCCUGGAUAUUGUUCCUGACCUUGUGGGCAGUGAGAGCCACAGGAGAGUCAAAGGUACUUCAACUGACAGAUCUGUUACUUGGAGGCUCCACAAGGAAUCAAUGACAUCUUUGUGCAACUUGAGGGCUUGGCUGCUCCUCUUCUGAUUCAGCUCUCUGCUAUGGCCUGGGAUAGCAGUAGAAGAUGGCCCAAGUCCUUGGGCCCCUGCACCAUGUGGGAGACCUGGAAGAAGCUCCUGGCUCCUGGCUUCGGAUUGGUACAGCUCCAGCUGUUGUGGCCAAUUGGGGAGUGAACCAUCAGAUGGAAGAUCUGUCUCUUUCUCUCUCUCUCUCUCUCUCUCUCUCUCUCUCUCUCUCUGCCUCUCCUCUCUCUGUAAUUGAGACUUUCAAAUAAAUAAAUAAAUCUUUUUAAAAAACUGUCAAAUAACCCAGCUUACAGGUCUUAAGAGUACCUGAAGAUGUAGAAAGAGAGAAUGGAAUAGAAGGCCUAUUUUUGUGAAAUAAUCACAGAAAACUCCCCCAAUUUGGAGAAAGAAAAGGAUGCCAAGUACAGGAAGCACAUAGAACACAUAAGAAACAUGACCUGAAAGGAUCUUCACCAUGACACAUUGUAGUCAAACUUUCCACAGUAAGGCAUAAAGAAACAUGUUCGUAUGUGUUUUCUGCUGUAAUCAAUUUCUAAAGUGUAUACACUGACAAGAAGAACUACACAGAGUACGGUCAUCGAACAAGGUAUAUCUCCUGAGAGGGGCUCCAGGCGGCUCAGCCAGUGCUACUGUUUGUGUUUCCCACACCGCAGGAGCCCUCAGGAGGAUGCUAGGACUCCGGUAUGCAGUGGGCUGGCCGUCAGGACCACGGGGUGGUGUGCAGUCCCCGCCUGCAGCUUCUUUGAACCCUGGGGCAUCAGCUUUCCAAUCUCUGUGUGGUGAGGAAGAACUUGAACUUACUGUAUGACCCGAUUUCCUUGAGUGAGGCAGCAGAUCUCAAGCAGGCCUCUCGGCGUAGGGGUCUGGGUCAGUUUUCUUGUUGCUAAUCGUGCAGCAGCACAGGCUCGGUGUGUGAGAAGGAAGCAGUAUUAUUGACCUCAUGGUUUUGGUGCAGGGUCUAGGGGCAGCAUCCGGUGAUGAUCUUCUUGCUGGUAGAGUCCUGGGGUGGCACAGAGACCAGCGGACAGACAGAAGGGGUGCAGAGGGGGCCAAUCCAAAGUGGUCUAUGUUGCGGUCCCCUAGGGAUAAGGCGUUAAUCCAUGAACACAUGAAUGGAUUUAUCCUGAUCACUUCCUGCAGGGCCUCACCUGUUCUCACUGCUGAAUUUCUCAUCACUGGAUUAACUGCGCCCAUGAGUUUCAGAGGGGAUAAACCAUGUUUAAUAGAGAGCAUGCAGGCUUGCAGGAGGUCCCUAAAUUUCCAGGUCUCCUCCCACCACCUAGUUUUGAGAUUUAGUGCUUCUGCCCCUCAUGUGGAAGAAGGCACCCUUUCUUAGGGCUUUCAAGGAAAGAAGGAAAGGACUUCAAGCUUUUCUUCCUACUAGGAUCACCUAUUAUUUUCAUUGCUUGCAACCUCAUCUGAUUUUCUGAAUCACGAACAUGAUUAUUGCCUGAGUAUUACCAAGAAAAUCUUACAAGUUGUCAUGUGACAUGCUAGAAAGGACCCGUGUGUGUUGAAUGUCCUUAUGUACUUCUGUUGCCAUGUCAGGGAUUUUGUGCCUCAAAAAAUGUUCCCAAGGUCGUAUGUUUAUAUUUGUUUUUGACAGGCAGAGUUAGACCUCGAGAGACAGAGAGAAAGGUCUUCCAUCCAUUGGUUCACCCCCCAAAUGGCUGCUAUGGCUGGCAUGCUGCGCUGAUCCAAAGCCAGGAGCCAGGUGCUUCCUCCUGGUCUCCCAUGCGGGUGCAGGGCCCAAGCACUUGGGCCAUCCUCCUGCCUUCCUGGGCAGCAGCAGAGAGCUGGACUGGAAGAGGAGCAACUGGGAAUAGAACUUGGGGCCCCAACCGGGACUAGAACCCAGGGUACUGGCACUGCAGGCAGAGGAUCAGCCAAGUAAGUCAUGGCGCCAGCCUAUGUACUUUUUUUAAGCAGUUCAUAGUGAACAACAUUUUCAUUAUUUUCAGUUCAGGAGAGCCAAAGUGUUAUCUUGUAGUUUUUUUUUUUUUUUUUAAGAAUAAGCUAAGAAAAAUCCUGUAGUACUUAUAAUAUACAAAUGAACUAUACUAUUAGAUAUAAAUUAAAUGUUAUAUUUUUAUGAAGAUAAAUGCCUAGUAAUAAAAGCAAAUUUUAAGUUUAUUGAUUUAUAGAAUUUCUCUUUUGGAAGGGAACCUUCAAUAUCAGCCAUUUUCAUUCAAAUUAUAAUAUUUUUUCACUUUUAAGCAAUCUCUGGUGUUAUUAAGAUUUCUUCACUAAACUUACACAUUAAUAGAAUUAUCUUAAAAUACAUUAUUAAUUACUUAAAUACAUUAAUAUAACACAUCGGAAAACAAGUCUUACUACCUGCUAUUGAUUAUAGUUAUCAGAAGUAUUAAGAUGUUGUCACAAAUUUGAAACAAAUAAUUGUUUUGUCUCUGAAGUGAUUUUUCAGGAAUAAUGAAUAAUGGAAAUCUAUAAGAGAUGUUUGGAUAACAUCUGCCUCAUGGACAAUUCAUAGAAAUAUAGUUAUUUAUCUCUAGUUGUAGGCUUAAUUUUGAAGUUAUCAUUUUUAUGGCAAUUGUGAUAAUACAAAUGACCACAAACCAAAUAAUAAAAUAAUUGAAAUUCCUAUACUUUGAGAAAAUGGAUAGCUUCUGUUAAUGUACCAAACAUAAUUUUUCUAUACUAAUUUAUUAGAAACAUUUCAAAAAUAUUUCUUUCAAUUUGGGGAGAGGUAAAAUAAUGAAAAAAAUCAAAAUUUCUGAAAAUUAAAGUAUUUGCAUUUAAUUUGUUCAUUUUCUGCCUCAUCACCAAUGUAGUUCUUUAAUUGGAUAGAAAAAAAGUAGAUUCAGAAUCUACAUUUGUUGACCACUAAUAACAGAGUAGGGCAGUGAAGCAUCAUUAGCCCAAUGAAACUUACAGGAUUUCAGUGGUGGGGAAAUCAGGACUCUUUCUGAAUUUUGUUAGGGAAAUGUGUUCUCAUUUUAUGUGGAGCUGUCUACUUUUGGUAUUUUUAUUUUAAUAUAUAUUUUAAAGUUUCAGCAGAACUCAGCACUAGGAGUGUCUACCUUAUUUUUUGGGGAAAAAUCUGACUAAUUUUUAAGAAUGGGGCAUCAAUAUUGUUUCAUUUUCUCAGUUUUGAAUAUAGUGUGUCAUUCUGUGAAAACCACCUUGCCAGUGUGCUUUUUGUUUAGUUUGCUUUUUAAGUGCAAACUUGAAAGUUUUACUUAUAAAAAGUGACCUUUAUGUUUUUCCAUAUGAUUGACAGAGCUUUUACCCAGUUAUCUUCAUUGUAUGACAAUAAAUCUAUUCAAUAAAGAUUAACAAAUGCAUUAAAAGUGCAAAUAAUCACUAUGGUAUGCUUGCUGGUUUUAUUUAUGAUGAUGUAUUGAUCAUCUCUGUCAGGUACUGUGAUAGAUAUGUCUAUUGGAAAAUAUAAUUUCAUUUCCCAAAAAGGCAAGCAAGUUAAAACCCUUCUGCAAUUAUGAAGUCAUCCUCUGAUAACUUACUGAUUCAUUUCUUGGUGUCAAAAUCAAGAACCAAUUAUCUGUUUGACUUGGAGAUAUUAGGUCCCUGUGGUACUAUGAAGAAAAUUAUUUAGUGCCUUUCAGCUAGUGAAAUGAUGAUUGGUGGGUCUGUUUGUUGAACAAAAAGGGGGAGGGGAAGAGCACACAUUAGCUAUAAGGCUGUAGCUAUCUCAUUGGAGGUAGUCAUUUCAGUCUUUGGAAUUAAUUCUAGAAUUUAAUGAUAACUUUAAGUUUGUGUAAAAAGUGGUUAGUAAAAAAUUUAUUUACCUCAUUAUAUAAACAUAAGACUAUGUUUUAAAACCUUCUUUCCCAGCCAAGAUACUAAUUUUAAUACAAAAUGGGAAAAUAUUCAAUACAGUGUCUCCUUUUGGAGGCUUCCUACAAGUGAAAGCAGAUUUGUGGGGGAUGAUUGAGUUUUGAGCAACUUCCUUGCUUCCAAGACAAAACCCACAUUGCCUUCGUCUGUCCCUAAAGUGCCAGACCCAAGCUACUUUUAAGAAGCUACUGUACUCCACCUGCCUUGGAUGAAGCAAGCAGCCCCUUUGCUACCAGAAUUCCCCAGAAACAGCAUGGGCAUUUUCCAUGGUAGAGACAGCCCUUGUGAAUUCUGCAACUGCAGGAGCUCUGGAGCUCUACUUGCUUGCUCUGUACAAUAUAGAGAAAUUCUCACGGCCUCAUAUGGCCGUGAGAACCAGUAGCAUCUCAUACAGAAUUCCAGAGUACCAGAACUAAAGAGGCCUCUUCUGAAACUCUUGGCACAUGGUGCUGGAAGGCAGGACAGUGCAUCAUUUUUGCAUGCCUUGUAGGCACAAAGGAAAGUUCUCUCCACUAUCUGAAGCUCUAGGAUUGCUGCUGCUUGUGUUAUAAACCCUGGAAUAACACUCAUCUGUGGGAGUGAUACAAUCCUAUCUUUGUAUGCUUCAGGCUGGAAUUCAACCCUGGAAUAAUUGGCAGUCAACCUGAGAGACCUGGAUAAGGACCCCACUGUAUCCCGUAUCUCCAGGGCUGUCACUCUGUGUACUGUAUUUCAGAGAGUCAUGUAAAUACACCUAGACCCUAGGGAAUGGAGCCUAUAAGCAUUCCAGUGCUCCAGACCCAGACCUGCUGAUACACAACCCUCAGCAUAAACUGUAUUCACCCUGUAGGACUCAGGGAAUGUCUCCUUAACAUUUCCCAGCUUGGGACUUGAACUCAUGAUGCUAAAUUUCUGGGUAUUAGUCAGGCUAACAUAUCAGGAUCUGGGGAAUGUCUUAU